rnacentral:rRNA from 1 species
UACGUAGGGUGCAAGCGUUGUCCGGAAUUAUUGGGCGUAAAGAGCUCGUAGGCGGUUUGUCGCGUCUGCUGUGAAAACUCGGGGCUUAACUCCGGGCCUGCAGUGGGUACGGGCAGACUAGAGUGCGGUAGGGGAGACUGGAAUUCUCGGUGUAGCGGUGAAAUGCGUAGAUAUCGAGAGGAACACCUGCGGCGAAGGCGGGUUGCUGGGCUGACACUGACGCUGAUGCGCGAAAGCUAGGGGAGCGAACGGG